rnacentral:lncRNA from 1 species
UUGGUUCAUCUCCCAAGUCUUUGUGAUCUUAACACUAAUGAUUUUCAAGUUGUGAGAGUAUAAAAUUAACAUCCACGUUAGUUAGGAUUAUAUGUGUUGAUUAAUAUAUUUAUAUAAUUACGAUUAAGCUUACAUGAUGGAUUUCUCAAUCAAAUCAAAUAUAAAUGAACAGUUUAUUUAUUGCUACUUUUAUAAUUGGAAUUCAAAAAAUAAGUUAUUAUAUUCAUCUUUUAUGGACUAG